rnacentral:rRNA from 1 species
GAUGAACGCUGGCGGCGUGCCUAAUACAUGCAAGUCGAGCGAACGGACGAGAAGCUUGCUUCUCUGAUGUUAGCGGCGGACGGGUGAGUAACACGUGGAUAACCUACCUAUAAGACUGGGAUAACUUCGGGAAACCGGAGCUAAUACCGGAUAAUAUCUUGAACCGCAUGGUUCAAAAGUGAAAGACGGUCUUGCUGUCACUUAUAGAUGGAUCCGCGCUGCAUUAGCUAGUUGGUAAGGUAACGGCUUACCAAGGCAACGAUGCAUAGCCGACCUGAGAGGGUGAUCGGCCACACUGGAACUGAGACACGGUCCAGACUCCUACGGGAGGCAGCAGUAGGGAAUCUUCCGCAAUGGGCGAAAGCCUGACGGAGCAACGCCGCGUGAGUGAUGAAGGUCUUCGGAUCGUAAAACUCUGUUAUUAGGGAAGAACAUAUGUGUAAGUAACUGUGCACAUCUUGACGGUACCUAAUCAGAAAGCCACGGCUAACUACGU